GACGUAGUGAGGCACCCCCCAUUCCGUAUGCAGAAGACGCCGAAGGGUACCUUUACCGUCACCGACCGAAUAAAAAGGGUACCUUUCCCGUCAGUCACCGACGCUAAAGGGCCUUUGCCAACAGUCGGUAUUUGACGUUCUCGGAGUGAGACUGUGUUGGUCUCAGCCUAAUGCGCGGAGGAAAACGGAGGCCAGGGCUGUGAAUGGACUUGUUGAUGAACAGUUUGUCCUGCGUCUCACGCUUUUCGAGGAGCUAUUCCGGGUCACAAAAUUCAUGUCUGACCAGCUCCAAUCUCCCACUCUUGAGCUUUCGUCCACAAUAGACUUAUCAGAGUCAGUCAUAGCGACAUUGUCAGACAAACGCGCAGAAGAGUCGUGGAUUGACAUUCGGGACAGAGCAGCGGACCUGUGCACCAAAGCCGGUGUGAGCCAGGACGGGACAUGCGAAAAGAGACGGACACAGCCUCCUCGAAUUCUUCAGGAGUUUGUUGUCGAGGCCCCAGUUGAGCGCACACCUGUUACAACUUCAGAUGCGCAGCGCACACAUUUGUAUUACCCAGUAAUUGACAGACUUGUGGGUGAAAUGAGAAGACGUUUCUCAACCGAGGCCGGAGGUGUUUUAACUGGAGUCUCGGCACUCAGCCCCAAACAUGCGUCUUUCCUAGACAAGACAUGUCUGCAGCCCAUGGCGCAGUUCUAUUUAGUGACUGAGGAAAACCUGACAGCAGAGCUACACCAAAUUCAGCGUCUGCUGGAAAGAAAGAAAGCACAGGGACAUGUAGUGAAUGACACUUUGGAAUUUCUCGCUUUAAUGCGACCUUACCGGGAUGCUUUUGUGGAUUUAUACAGACUCAUCUGUAUUUCACUGACCCUGCCCGUGACCUCUGCUUCGUGCGAACGCAGUUUCUCCUGCCUCCGUCGGAUUAAGAACUAUCUACGGAACAGCAGUGGUGAUACCCGAAACAGCAACUUGGCGCUGCUGUCCAUCAACAAACAAAGGACAAAGACUUUGGAUGUUCAGCGCAUCAUCGACAUCUUUGCCUCCAAUCACAAAAACCGGCGGAUUGUACUCAUUUGAAAAUCUCAACCUGGGUGAUGUUCAGCACAUGAAGCCCUACAGAUGCCGCCGCUUCAACAAUGCUGAUUAUGAUGGGCGGUGAAUUUAACCUGUAUGGCUUUUUCGUUUUAACUUCUUGUUGACUGAAUUGUUUCUCUUUCUUAGUGCCAAAUUGAUUCUUUUUUGUUUUACAAGAGCCCUCUCUGCUCUCCUUCUCAUUCAUUUUUCCUUUUCUAGUUGCCUUAGAAUAGGCAACUAGAGGUCCUCCACAGUCGCCCCAUCAGUCCCUGGCAGUCUUGUCCCUGGAGCAGCUGUCCCUGGAUCACCUGCC
ensembl:lncRNA